rnacentral:rRNA from 1 species
AUUGAACGCUGGCGGCAUGCUUUACACAUGCAAGUCGAACGGCAGCACGGGUGCUUGCACCUGGUGGCGAGUGGCGAACGGGUGAGUAAUGCAUCGGAACGUGCCCAUGAGUGGGGAUAGCCCGGCGAAAGCCGGAUUAACUACCGCAUACGCCCUUAGGGGGAAAGCGGGGGGAUCUUCGGACCUCGCGCUAUUGGAGCGGCCGAUGUCGGAUUAGCUAGUAGGUGAGGUAAAGGCUCACCUAGGCGACGAUCCGUAGCUGGUCUGAGAGGAUGAUCAGCCACACUGGGACUGAGACACGGCCCAGACUCCUACGGGAGGCAGCAGUGGGGAAUUUUGGACAAUGGGCGCAAGCCUGAUCCAGCCAUGCCGCGUGAGUGAAGAAGGCCUUCGGGUUGUAAAGCUCUUUCAGGUGGAAAGAAAUAGCGCUGUUUAAUAGAUGGCGUUGAUGACGGUACCACCAGAAGAAGCGCCGGCUAACUACGUG